GGAGUCGGCCUGGCAGCCGCCGUGCACGAGCCGUGCACGGAGGAAAGUCCGGGCUCCGCAGAGCGGGAUGCAGGGUAAUACCCUGGCACGGCGACGUGACGAACAGGGCCACAGAGACGAGUCCUCGGUGUGAAAGCCGAGGGGUGAAACGCGGCAACCUCCAUCCGGAGCAACACCAAAUAGGCAAGCGAGUUGUGGCUAAGCCCACAAUGGCAGGUCUGCUCGACCGAGCUUGCGGGUAGGUGGCUAGAGCGCGCGGGCGACCGCGCGCCCAGAGGAAUGGCUGCCGUUCCCGGCGGGUCCGCCCGGCGGGAGGCACAGAACCCGGCUUAUCGGCCGGCUCCCGUU
rnacentral:RNase_P_RNA from 1 species